CUCGUAGGUGGCCAACUAAGUCAGACGUGAAAUCCCUCGGCUUAACCGGGGAACUGCGUCUGAUACUGGAUGGCUUGAGUUCGGGAGAGGGAUGCGGAAUUCCAGGUGUAGCGGUGAAAUGCGUAGAUAUCUGGAGGAACACCGGUGGCGAAGGCGGCAUCCUGGACCGACACUGACACUGAGGAGCGAAAGCUAGGGAGCAAACG
rnacentral:rRNA from 1 species